rnacentral:rRNA from 1 species
UACGAAGGGUGCUAGCGUUGCUCGGAAUGACUGGGCGUAAAGGGCGCGUAGGCGGACGGCUUUGUCGGGCGUGAAAUUCCAGGGCUUAACCUUGGGGCUGCGUUCGAGACGGGUUGUCUUGAGUUCGGAAGAGGGUCGUGGAAUUCCCAGUGUAGAGGUGAAAUUCGUAGAUAUUGGGAAGAACACCGGUGGCGAAGGCGGCGACCUGGUCCGUGACUGACGCUGAGGCGCGAAAGCGUGGGGAGCAAACAGG